CUGGCUCCCGCCUUCGCCCGCUUCCGGUCGUCGUCGUCGCCGCUGCUGCCGCUGCUGUUGCUCCUGAGGCUGCUGGCUGAGGCCGGAGGAUCGAGCGGCGGCGGCGGCGGCGGCUGAGAGGGCGGCGGCGGGAGCGGAGCGGGACGAGGGAACGGGAGGAAGCGAGCGAGGAGCGCGCAGAGCGCGCUUUUCCGUCCGCCUGAGGAGCCGAAG
rnacentral:lncRNA from 10 species